rnacentral:snRNA from 1 species
CAGCCAUGCAGUGAAUACAAAGCGAACUAUUCUUUCGCCUUUUACUAAAGAAUACCGUGUGCUCGCUGCAUUAAAGUGGCAUACGCCUAUUUUUGGAGAGACCCUUCAACAAUUGAAGGGC